AUUUAAAUAAUUUAAUAAAAAAUUUUGAUUUGUGGGGUCAAGCAUACUGAUAAAAGUUUUAAAUU
rnacentral:tRNA from 1 species